rnacentral:lncRNA from 10 species
GCACUCUACUCUAUCCCUCACAGACUUUCCAGCAAACACCUUCAAGCCAACACGUCUAGGAGAGUGGGUCGGCCAAGAGUCACUGAACAUUGGGUGUUUUGGUGAAGCAAAAAGAAGAGGCUCCUGGCAUGGACAGAUUCAGCCUGGACACGCAUAGGGCCAAGUCUGAAGGCUGAGACCAGGGAAGCCAAGGGCACAAAUUCCAGUUCAAGAACAAGAAGAGACCUACAUCCCAGCUCAUGCAGUAAAGACGGAAGAAAGAUCAGAUGGAUACAGUGACCAAAAAGCAAGUUUGGAAAAACCAGUGUUUGAACUAUUGCUCAGUUACUUCUCCUGAAGGCUGCAAGGGAAUCAGGCAGGGAAAAGAACAUCAUUUCAGACCAAUCGCGUUCCUAUGUGAGAGAACAAUCUGGAAAGUGUGGAUCUUGCCCAUGGGUGUACCAAAGCUGUGUUCUGAAGUAUCAAAUGCCUGCUGUGAUGGUUAAUACUAAGUGUCAACUUGAUUGGAUUGAAGGAUGCAAAGUAUUGAUUCUGAGUGUGUCUGUGAGUACGUUGUCAAAGGAGAUUAACAUUUGAGUCAGUGGGCUGGGAAAGGCAGACCCACUCUUAAUCUGGGUGGACACCAUCUAAUAUUCUAGCCAGCACGGCUAGAAUAUAAGCAGGCAGAAAAACGUGAAAAGAGAGACUGGUCUAGCCUCCCAGCCUACAUCUUUCUGGAUGCUUCCUGCCCUUGAACAUCAGACUCCAAGUUCUUCAGUUUGGGACUCAGACUGGCUUUCCCUGCUCCUCAGCUUGCAGACGACCUAUUGUGGGACCUUACGAUCAUGUGAGUUAAUACUUAACAAACUCUUAUAUGUAUAUAUACACUCCCCUUCUAUUUCAUAUAUAUAAUAUAUGUAUAUAUAUAUAAUAUAUAUAUAUACACACACAUACUCCUAUAUAUAGGAGUAUAUAUAUGAAAUAUAUAUUAUUUAUAUAAUAUGUAAUAUUUUAUUAUUAUAUAAAUUAGUUCUCACUAAUAAAACUAAUACUCUAUUAGUUUUGUCCCUCUAAAGUACCCUGACUAAUACACCUGCCUUUUGAUGAACAAACUUUACUUCCCCAGUUAGCAAUGGCUCCGUUUAUUCACUCCAUGUGUCAGAACUUCGGGGGGACACAGCUUAAAUGUGAUUCUCUCCAUUAUUCCAUCCAUGACCACCACUAUUAGAUCCCCUACCAAUAUUCUUCUAUAGCAACCCAUUCUCCUUAGGUGACAGAUGCCAACUUAUAAUUCUUUGUUCAGACUGUCUUCCCCACUAGAAUGUAGGCUUCAUGAGGUCAAGAAUGGUGACAGUUUUAUUUGUUUCUAUAUCCUCAGUCUUAGGCAAAGAAGUUAGUGCAUAUUA